CCUACAAGGUAUGCGCCCUGGUCCCCUUUUGAUCCUCUUGCCCUUUCCUCCUUGCUGGUGGCGUGUCAGGUCCUACGCGAUUUACAACUGUGGAUCUCACAAAUUGUAAGGGGAAAUCAUGGCAAUUGCUGGAUCUGGAGUAUAUGAUCUGUAGGAGGAGCAGUGUUCGUAUAUAGGUUCAUGCCAUUAGGCUAGAAUGGGGAAUUCCCAAUGGUCAACUACAGCCACAACCCGGCUUAGUUAUAGGUGUACUUUUAUUACCCGCCAGCUCAACAACAACUGAACAGUAAACAGGACAGGUAACAGUAAAUCAGACGGUCCAGCGAUGAUGUAAAACGAGGAGCUCAUCGUAGCCGUCAGAUGUUGAUGAAGCUGUAUGUCCCGGAAGAGCUACACCUAACUGAAGAUAGGUGCAGCCUGACAUGGCGUUCUGGUACUCCUCACUGAGAUCCCUCAAGCUACAUCAUUGAUAAUUGAACAUGUAUUUAAUUAGAUAAUUCAGUUAACCAGUGUGCAUCUACUUAAUUCGGUUAUACUAUAUGUACUAAUUCAUGCAAAGAAGGGACUAAUUGUUGACAAACAUACCUGCCAUGCAUAUAUCAUACUAUGCCUUGGAAAAUAAUUUUGUUUUGUGCAUUUUUUAUGCAUGCCAUGCAUAUAUCAUGUGAAUGAUUGAACAAGUUUAGUUAAUAAGAUCUUAUCUGUUGGAGACUUGGAGUCAACUGCACCAGAUUUACAGUAACAAGCGCUAGCUUCUACUAAAAAAAUGAGGUGUUCAUAGUCGCAUAAUGUUUCAUAGAUUCACUACAAAACUGUAAGUUAUGAACUUAUGCUCGCUCAUAUAAAUCUGCUCAUGCACGAAUGUCUGCUGAAUUAAUUAAUAUAAGCUAGCAGCUGCCACGCGUGUACAUGCAUGUUGUUAUCAGCAAUUCAGCAUCGACCUGUCUGAAUAAUGAGCUUGAAUAUAAUCUCGUAAUAAGAACAAAGUGAGUUUACUAAAUGCAUGGUUUAUUUUGCCGACAGAUUAGCACACAGUUAACUUGAUCCACAACAAAAAAUGCGAUGACAUGCAUGUUCGACAAGAAGACGAUCAACACCACUCUCCCUAAACAGAUCGUAAGAUCACACUAAGAGGUAGAAGACCCCAUGCUAGAAAAAAUACAGAUUCAGUUCUUACUUAGGAAGGAACAAUCAACGACAUACUAAUUAACUAGCUGCUGGUAGAUCCAUUUCUCCAAAGUACUCAAAAAAAGAAGUUGUAAUUUGAUGGAAUAAUUAACUAUGUUCUCUUUUAUUUCUCGAAUCAUGUCUGUUCGCACAAGUACUAUGUACACAGGAGCACAUGGUCUAUACUGCUACAAAUUGUGGUUAGCUUUCGAUCUGCUAUUCAAGUUACUGUAUGUACCCUGACCGAGAAGAUAAUUUUUUCAGGCAAGAAGGAUGGUAUGGAAUCGACAGGCAAUGCACGGUAAGAACAACCAAGCUGCUCCAUCUGAGAAACAAGAGUCAGAAGAUGUAGCUACUGUUGCAGAAGAACCUGUCUGUACUGAAGUAGCAGAUGAAACUUGUUCCUAGCAGAUUUGAAAAUUUUGGAGAGCAGAUAGAUUGCAGCAGUACAGCCUAUCGCAUGAUGGAGAAAAGGAGCGUAGAGAAGAACAUUUGGCUUGAGCUGGAACGUGAGGUGCUUCACACCUUAGGGAUUUCAUCUACUGAAUGGACUUAACCAACAAGGACAUAGAAGCACUCUUGGGUGGACAUACUCUGUUUUAGGAGAAAAGCUCCUCCGGAUAGCUCGGGAUUCGACUACACUUGGACAAAAGAUCCUCUGAAGUUUGAUAACUCCUACUUCAUUGAGCUUCUGAAAGGGGACUCCAACGGACUCAUGAAGCUGCUUACAGACAAGGACGCGUUCUUCAGGGACUACGCGAAGUCGCACAAGAAGCUUUCCAAGCUCUACUUUACUGGCGUGGACAUGCAGAGACAAAGCCAAGAGGGCUGUCAUAAGAACUAUCAUUGUCUUCCCAGUUGCGGUUGUCGUCAUCGCCUGCGCUUACAUCUUUGAAUCAAAGAGAAGGCUCAGUGGUUAGACUGCAAGUCUCCAUGUUUAGACGAUUGCGAUUCAGUUAUGGGUUCUGAAGAACAAAGUUCAUCGUCCAUUGAGAUGUUGUGCACUCGUAGUUGUAACUAAUCUGUUGAUACAGUGACGAUGCUACCAUCCAUGUAAUACUAGUACAAAUGCCCGUGCGUUGCAACGGGCGAUAAAAUUAAUAGAACCUGCCCUGUGUGUCAU